rnacentral:rRNA from 1 species
UACCAGCACCCCGAGUGGUCGGGACGUUUUAUUGGGCCUAAAGCAUCCGUAGCCGGUUCUACAAGUCUUCCGUUAAAUCCACCUGCUUAACAGAUGGGCUGCGGAAGAUACUAUGGAGCUAGGAGGCGGGAGAGGCAAGCGGUACUCGAUGGGUAGGGGUAAAAUCCGUUGAUCCAUUGAAGACCACCAGUGGCGAAGGCGGCUUGCCAGAACGCGCUCGGACG